rnacentral:ncRNA from 1 species
ACAAUGAUACUCCCUUAUAGCUAAACGAGGCCCCAUGUUGGGGUGCUUCCAAGUCCGAGCGUUAAAAGCGUCGCAGGCAAUAGGUAGGGCCGCGUGAGAACCACGCGGGGGUGAGAUUCCCGUGG